rnacentral:lncRNA from 1 species
CGCCUCAUAGCGACAGUGUUAGCCUCAUAGCGACAGUGCGUUUGUUUUUCACAGGCUUCAUAGCAAGCUUGGACCACUUGAGACCCUGUUUGUUCUUGUUGUUUUGUUUUAAGAGGGGGAUUUUGAACCAAACUUUGCUUUUUAAAUAUUUAUUUUGUAGGCAGUUUCUAAAGUCUCCAAAUUUUGAUGGCUGGUUCAAGACCCGGAGAAAAGAAAUGACCCACAAAUUGGAGGCCCUUCAUCUAGAAGCUCUUUGUGAAGAGGACCUCCUUCUCUGGAUCCAGAAACACACAGAAGUAGAAACAGUGGACCUUGUAUUGAAGCUGAAAAAUAAGCUGGUAUGUAACUAAAGAGAUGAAGAUAUAAAAUGGACCUUUUUGUGAAAAUGUUUUUCUCAUCUGAUCUAACACUCACUCUUUUGUCUUCUACAGAAGUCAUUUUUUAAAUGAGAACAUUCAAGACUGGCAAUUGAUGAUAGAUCUCACUAGAAAUAUUUGGAUCAAAUGACUCAAAUGUAAUGACUCAAAUGGAUCAAAUGAUUCUAAAUUAUUUGAAAGACAUUUAAACAAUUUUAAAAAUUAUUUUAUGAGUAUAAAUGUAUGGCCUGCUCUUAGUAAGUGCACCAUAUGCAUGCAGUGCCCACAGAAGCCAAAAAAGUGACACCCCCUCCAUUGGCAGUGUUAAGCCAUGUGUAUGCUGGGACCUGAACCCACGUCUUCCACAAGUGUAGCCAGUGCCCUUAACUGCUGAACUCUCCAUCCCUCAAAGACACAUAAAACAGUCUUUUGAACUCUCUGAAACCAUGUCUCGCCUAGAUUUUAUGCCACAUAAUACCCUUAGGCAACAUCUGUAGAUGUACAGAAUGAUCUUUUAUUGACGUCCCUUUCCACCCCUCCCCCACUUGAUGUUCUCUACAGUUUUAGUUACUGUAAAUUCUAGGCUGAGACCUAAAGUUCCAAGUGAUCAUGCUAUAAAAGGGUGUUUAUAUAGCAAAUACAAUGUAUUGAUACAGACUCACUAAAAUCAUUCCUUAUGUAGUUGCAGGCUGACCGAGAGAAUUUACCUGUGAAACCUGACACUGUGGAGAAGUUACGGACACAUAUAGAUGCGAUUAUCCUCGCAUUACCGGAGGAUCUGCAAGGCAUACUGCUCAAGACUGGCAUGACAUGAUACUUAGCAGAUUCUCCUGCCAGAAAGGACUGUGAACCAUGAAGCAUACUGACAUUUUAUCUAGACGCACACAGGAGCUGUCUUGGUGGCAGGAGCACGGAAACCGGCAGCAGUUGCGAGAUACAGGUGGAAGGACUGAGCAUAUAAACAGACAUUUUUAGUGCAUUCUGUGGUGGUUCCACAAUACUGGAAUACCGAACGGCGUUUCCACGUCUGUAAUCAUGUUCUAAAGUGCUCUUAGGAGAGACCUGUGGGGCCAUCCAUGUAAGGCCUCCGAACUGCAGUGCCGGCACUGCAGAUAUUUUUUUAAUUGGUGCUGCUUUGCCCAAUCAAUGUUGAAACUCAGGGGAAUAUAAAAAUAAUGUUCACACUGGCUGUCUUCUUAAGAAGGAAAACUGAACUUC